AGUGAUGCUAUCCACGAGCUUGGACUCACGAGAAAUAAAAUAUCACGACCCUUCUGUUUCCUUCGCGCGACAUCGGCAAAAAAAUCUCUCCUUUCCUUCCUUGCGGUCUCCGUCCUCAUCGUCCCCGAGCAGAGCGCUCGCUCGAUCUAGUUAUCCCUCAAUUAAUUAGAGCUCCCUCAUUGUGAUAGUGCUUCAUCACCAGUUCAAUUGCAUAGAUCCGGUCGAAUCAUAAGGAGAGAAGCAAUUGCCAUGGCGCUGUCGAGCGGCGGCCGAGGGGAGAAGAACGGCGCCAUGGCAGCUGCGGGGAGAAGACGGCGCUGUCGAGCAGGUGGCCACACGGAGACCAGCGGCGCCAUCGAGCGGCGGCCGUGCGGAGAAGGACAGCGCCGUGGCAGCCUCGGGGUGAAGGAUGGCCCCGUCAAGCUUGCGAAGGCGGCCGCGCAGAGACUGGCGGGGCCAUCGAGUGGCGGCCGCGCGGAGAAGGACGGCGCCGUGGCUGCCGCAGCGAGGACGGCGCCUUCGAGCAGGACCAAAACUUGACAAGGAUGGCGACAUCCGGCAGCCUGCCGCGCGGAGAACCCAUCCUCUGCUUGCUUCCGCCCGCAGUCCACGUGCAGCAGGCAUCGAGGAAGCAUCACUUUAGACACACACUAUGGAGGGCCGCCGCGGCGUCCGACCGCCGCCGCUGCAACUCAUUGUCCGACCACCGCCGUGACUUGUUGUGCUCGGAGGUCUCCCCGUGUCGUUGCUGUCCUAAGGGUGCACGUUCGCGUGCGUGAUGGGGGCAGCGAGGAGGAAGAAGGACGUCCGUCAGGAUGAGCAAAUGGAAAUCGUGACAGAAUCCUAGUUUAGUAUAACUUGAUUCUUUCGGUGCUAUUCCAGGGAACCGAGAUUUUUUAAUAGUAUUUCAGUGAUAUUUUUAAAUUUUUUUUAAGGAUUGGAAUAUCUCUAAAUAGAUAGUUUUGGAUAUGAGCGCUUGGAGACUAGUUAUCAAUGUGUCUAAAUUUUGAACUUAUUUUUUUCGGGUUUCAUCUCUAGCCUACCCCAAUUUGCUUGGGAAAAAACGCUAUGUUGUUGUAUUUGAAAUAUUGAAUAUAGACUAAUUAUAAAAUUAAUUACUGAAUUUGUCUGUAAA